CAGUAAACGAAGAUCUUCUAACUUUAGAUGCUUUUUUUUUAUAAGCAUGCAAGUGCCAACAAUAAUUCUCGGAAGUUUGGAUUUAAAAAAAUAAAUAACUGGCAUAAAAUGGAAAAUAUAAAUUAUACUCUUCUUUUUUUUUGUUGUUAUCGUUCUCUAUUCGUUCGUCUUUCGACGGUGGAUUCUAAAUUUUGCGAAGUUUGCAAACUCUUCUUAUCAAGAAAUUUUGAAAUCAGAUUACUAUGUCAGUAUGCCAAGAUCAUAUAUUCCCAAAUCGGAACCCCAACGAUUACUGACCUGGUUUUUUUCCUAGUAUGCAAAUAAAACAUUCUUACUUUCCAUAAACCAAUAGAUCGAUCGAUAAAAAUUAUGUAGAUAUCUAUAUUUUUUUUUUUAUAUGUAGUUACGUAGCUAUAAAACUAUUAUUAAACGUGAAUAAGAGUUACGUAAUAUGAUUUUAAGAAACGUCUAUAUUAUAUAUAUAUAUAAAACUUAAUGUUUUAUUCGCCACAUGUUGAAUUUCUGCGAAAACUGUCUGCAUAGCACGCCGACCAAAGAAUUGAGGUCAAGGUUGCUGGGUGGAUGGACCAGAACCGUUCGUGUUCGUGUUCGACUAAUUUAGCUUACCUCUGGUUUAUCCAUUGGGAUAGCCUUUAGACAUUUUCACUUCUCUGUCUUACAUUGCAUUAACCGAAACUAUAUUCAAACAAGAUUAAUUAGUUUUUUCUUCAGUGAAAUGUGCAAUUGGUUAAAAUGCUAAGAGUGGUUCUUGGCUCGCUAUUUGAAUGCAUAUCCUGUAAAAGUUAAUUGGGAGAACAUUUAUGUUAAACAAAGAUUGCUUUUAGUAUUUUUUAUUUUUUUGUUUUUUAACUUAGUCAGAUUCCCUGUUCUUAGGUUUUUACUGCUUAACCUCUUAGGAGUUCCCCGCGGGGGAAAUUAAAGUGCGGGACUGCCGGAAAUGACGGGACUUCCGACAUUUGCCAGUCGUCAAGGAACGUUGACCUAGCAGCCUGGCGACCCACUGGCACCCGCCUUCUUUUCUCUUCUACGUUGCCCCCCUCGUUUCGCUCCACUUUCGCUACUUUUUCUUUUAAUCAAUUAUACUUUCUCCGCUCAUAAUAACUGUCUCUCGCCAUUUCGGUUCGUAGAUUGCAGCAGGAAAGAAUUUCUUCGCCAGGUUGCACUUAAAAAUCGCUUCCCCCUACCGUUACCCCCUUUAUGCCAAUGCUUUCAAGUUAAUACCUGAAUAUUCGCCUUUCGAAAAAAAAUCAAAUUUUAGUUACGGACACACGUAUUAGAAUUCUUAUUUUAUUUUUAUUUUCGUCAUCAGGAUUUGUAAUUAAACGAUCACGUAUCUCGUCCAAAUUUUGCGCUUAACGUCUUCGGAAAAUCGUUUCCAUUGCAGGUUUAUCGCGUCAUAUAGGAAAUGAACUGUUUGGUAAAUCAGCUGAUAAGUCAUCUCUUGGAAACAAGGAAUCUGUUUCUUUCCCCCCAUAUUCCAAUAUAUUAUCGGCCUUGGAGAAUGUAUAAAAAAAAUCAAGUAGGAAAAUAGGGAAAGUCGUUAACCUGUUCCAAGUCACUGAGUUUCGUGAUAGAAAAUGCCAAUGGUGUGUGCUGUAUGUAUACAGUAUAUGUUCCCUUUAGUAACAUCAUGUAUAUAAAAAUCUGUCUGACAGGUGUCUGGAAUGGCCAUGCUCACCUUGAAAUAGCAAAACGAUGAAGCAUCUAUUAAUAAAUUAUCUAAUCAUUUUAAAACAUAUGUAUUUAAAAAUCUAAACCGAACGCGUUUAAAAUCCGAUAUAGCGCCGGAUUGAUUCUAACCACUCCAACAAUACAUCUACCAUAAAAAAAGAAAAUGUAUCAGCUAAAAUGCUAACAAGAUCAUAAGUAUCUUGUAAUGAUCGUAUUGAUUUCACGAAAUUUGAGUUGCUUAAUCCCGGGGAAAAAAACAAUACUCAUUUCUUGAACUCUGCUUUAAGUAUCAUCUAACAAGCGUAUGAAAACACGUUACGAUCUUGGAAUUUUUUAAUAUUUUCUCGUGAUUCCAUCGUUGCUUUUUUUUAUUUCUUUUUCCGAAAAAAGAAAGAAACGAAUUGUUUAAAAGUAAUACCCUUUUUUCUAUUCUUUAAAAUUAAAAAUUAUAUUAUUUAAAGCCGAAUUAUUGAACCGAAAACACAUGUUGUAAAGCAAUACCAGUUUGUGGCCCCACCUAAAGUUUCAGUGACCACACGUGGCUACCGCAACCAUACCACACCAAGAAAACUCAUAUACCACACAUAGACUGGUUUGAAUCGACCAUAAAUGGAUUUUUGAGAGUCGCUGUAAAAAUAUAAAAAAUAGAUUUAUUAUUAUUUUUUUUAAUAAAUUUUUAACCGUGUAAUUUAGUCUUGAUUUUAUGCUAUAUGUGUUAUCGUACUUUUAGUAACGCGAACUGUUUAUGUUAAUGUACUGAUGUACCGAAUAUCCUAGAGAACCUUGCACCCAAAUUUAGUAUUUGGAUUGAUACUAGGAAAUGUUUUUGAAACAUUGUUUUAUAAAUAACUGCAUUUAUAAUAAAAAAAAAGAGUCCAAUUUAAAUUUUUCUGUGUAUAUACAGCUAGAAAAAUCUCCAUAUUGACAUACAGAAGCCAAAGAAAGAUGGGUCUGUAAAUUAGUAUGCAUAUAGCAUCUCUAUAACAUAUGGUUCUAAAUAAACAAGUUGCCGUACAAUGUUUGAAGGUGUUUUAUAGAAUAAAAAUGGAUAUAAACGAUAGAAACGUUUUCGUUAUGUUAAUUUUAAAAAAAUGAAACAAAAAAAUCGGAAUUAAUACGUAAUUUUUAUUACUUUUAAUGUUUUAAAAAAUUUCGUAUAUAUAAGAAAAUUUCGUAUCGGUUAUUCCUCGGUAUAGUAGUUUAUGGUCUCUUGAAGUCAGGCGAGUCCAAUGCGAACAGGGCGAUCCAGUUAAAGGACGGGAUGGGAUGUUCGCUUCAAGGUCAGGUACCGACAGCAGCAGCAUUGGGGUUCUUGGCAGUGUUCCAAUAUGUGACACCACCAUUCUAAAACUGGGUUAUGUAGCCGAUUCGUGACCAUAUCGUGACACCCUCAUGUUCUCACUCCUGCCAAAUUUCGAAUUGGUAAAAAUUAUCCGCGCAUUAUAUAUACAAGCACGCAGCGCUUUGAUCAGUUAGCAGACCCGGUCGGGUAUGUGUCGCCGGCGGUCGCCGAUUCCAUCUCAAACACGUGACCGAGGGCGAAGUUAAGAAGCAACCACGCGGAAGUGGUUGCGUUGCGCGUGCGCGACCUUACCCGCUCUCCAGGAGCCUAUAAAGGAAGUGACGUAAAAAAAGUGAUGCUUCCAGCGGAGACAGGAAGUCAUAUUGUAGAUGUUAAUACGAUUAAUCAUUGAAAAGUCAUUUAUUAUUAUUAUAUAAAUUUUUUUAAUAGUCAGCGGAUAAAUUACCUAAUAAAUAAUUGCUUAUUUAAUAAACUUUUUUAAUACCCAGACAAAUUUAUUAUUCUUCAGUAGAAGAAAAAAAUGAUGAUAACUUGCGGGAGGGGCAUGCAGUUUAAAACGCAUAAAAUAUUAAUCGACGACCUGGGACGUGUAGUAAAUUCCCAUUCAUAGUGGUGACGACAUUAUACAGAAGCUUUAAGAAUCGAGUAAAGGUAGAAACAUUUUACCACAUGCACACGUUAUGAUAAGAACCGGUCAACGCCGGCGUGAUUGCGUCAUAAGUUGCCAGAUGUCCUUGAUGCUUGACGAAAUUUCUCACGUGACUUCCGCCUAUUGGGGGUAAGAAAUUAAUAAUUAAUAAUCUUAAGAUUAUUAAAAAAAUGAUGCUGGUGAAUGAACCAUUCGCUUUUUUUUCCCUCUCUUCACAGACUAUCGCCUCGGUUAAGAGUUGGUAAACGUUUAAAUAUAGGAUUGCAUAUAUAUAUUUAUAGUAUGUAUAAAUUAUAUAAUCUUAAACAAUGCGAGGAAAUAAAAGUAUUUCUCAUAAUGACAGUUCAACAUGAAUAAAUUUAAAAUAUCCUUUAAUA
rnacentral:lncRNA from 1 species